rnacentral:tRNA from 4 species
UCCGGAGUAGCUCAGCGGUAGAGCAAUCGGCUGUUAACCGAUUGGUCGGGGGUUCGAAUCCCUCCUCCGGAGCCA